UUGCGAAGCACUCCCUUACAGCACAUGGAUCUCUUGAAGCCCUGUUUCCUCCCAUGUGUCUCACAGGUGCCAUGGUCUUGCCAAGCUCCUCAGCCUCCUCCAGCAGCCUUACAUUUUCUCUAGGGGCAAGAAGGAAGUUAUGGAGGAUGCAAGCAGCCACCACAACCGUGUCCACAUUUUUGGGGUGCAGGUUAAUCCUGCGAUGAAGGAUCCUCCAUUGGGAUGCCUGGAUGCCAAAGGCAUUCUCAACCAACAUCCUUGCUCUCGAGAGUCUGUAGUUGAAAAUGCGCUUUUUGUGGCUCCGAUUCUGUCCAGGGUAGGGCCUCAUUAGGUAGGGCUUCAUGGGGAAUUCUUCAUCGCCAACCAUCACAUGAGGCACAUCCCCUAGGUGAGCUGCCCCAGGCAGAGAGGUACUCUGCGGCACAUGCAGUGUCUUCCUCUCCCUACCUCUCCCCAAAUCAGAACCAGCAUACACCCCCCGUCACUUGUCCUCCCAAAGUCUCCCAGCUGAAUGAACCUGAAUUUGUAAUCUGCAUCAACAAGGGCCAAAAGCACAAUAGAAAAUGUAUUUUUAUAGUUCAAAUAUUGGCUGCUGGACAGCGGUGGUGCCAUCAAGGGCUCCGAGGCAGUUAGGAAAGUUCCAUUUCUCCUAGAAGCGCAGUGCCACUUCCUUCCAAAUGUCUGGGGUCGACCUGGGUAGGAAGCUCUCCAUCAUCACCUUUCCUAUGGCUGCACACACACCAUAUGGAUGGAGUUGUUGACAGUUGUGUGGCCCAGGCGGUAGUGAAAAGCAAGGCUGAUCAGGGAGUCCCCAGAAGCUAAGUACCUUUGAGGGAAUAGAGAAGAAAAAACAUUUGUUACAUAAAAGUUACAAGUUACAUUUGAGAUUUAUUUAUUAACAUCUUUUUUUCCUCUUUUCAGUUGAUCUUUGCAAAGCAAGAUGGCGAACACUGCGGGAUGCCUUUGUAAAAAACUGUAAAAGGGUCUCUUCUAGUGGAUCUGCAGGAGGCACUCAGAAAGACUGGAAAUAUGCCGAUAUUAUGUCCUUCCUCCUGUCCCACUUACAGCUUAGAAGUUCAAAAAGCAACUUGAUGCAGCAUGAUGACGAGAGAUCGUCAACCCCUCUCUCAUUCUGUGGAUCAGAUGAACAGCCAGGGAGCAGUGGGACCAUGUUGUAUGAGGGACAGCCACCACCAUCUCCAGCUGACCAAACAACCUCUGGGGAGAGGGACAGGCCCCAGAGGUCCCGUAGCCCGAGAGAAACGGGGUCAAGACGGGGCUACACCACACACUCAAAGAAAUUUUGAAAAUGCUGACCAAUCUUGAUGGUACAGCCCAACACCUCCACCAGUGCUACAUUCAGCAAAUCCAAGCGGAUGGAGCAUGGAAACAGUCCAAGUGCGACCUGCACCAGAUCUCUCCACCCCCCAUCUGCAUCCACCAAGGCAAGGGAGUUUUUCACAAUUGAAUCGUCCUCCACAACCCCCACAAAUGUAUCCCAUAGGCCCAUUCACUCAAAUGCUAGCUUCAAGCAAUGAUCUACAGUGGGAAGACAACAGUUCCCCUUAUACUACUUUGUAAAUAUGUAGUCAUUUAUAUAUACACUGCUCAAAAAAAUAAAGGGAACACUUAAAAAUUACAAUGUAAAUCCAAAUCAAUCACACUUCUGGGAUAUCAACCUGUCCAGUUAGGAAGCAACACUUAUUGUGAAUCAAUUUCACCUGCUGUUGUGCAAAUGGAACAGACAACAGGUGGAAAUCUGAGGCAAUUGUCCUGGCCAAUGAUAGACAGAAGCUCGUCCAUUUGCUCUGCACUCAUUUGAAAAUACUGAUGAUGGCGUUGUCUGUCAAGCCGAAGUUCAGCCACAAGAUGAUAAAAAUCACCUUGUUGACGUCUGCGCUGGUUCAGUGGAUGAACCCUAUGCAGACUCCUUCUCCUUCUUCCUCUCCUCUGCAGUCUUGCAAGUAGUAGAAGAAGGGCCGAUGUUCUCCUUCUAUGAACAGGCACUGAAAUAUAUAGAAUAGUUAUACGGUGUAAAAAGAAAAUCAAAGCAAUUAAUCACUGCCUGUUAUACAACAAAAAAAUGGAGAACAAUGCUGUAGCUUAUCUACAUUAAACGUUCCUAUAUUGUUGCAAAAUAAAAGAGAACUAUGGAGCCCCUGAAGUCCCAAAAAGAAAUAUUUUAACUUGUGCGCACAAGUUAUUAUGUUGUGCGCAAAAGAUAAUUAUAACCCUUACUAGUUCAGAUGUGUAUUGUAAUCAUAAAGCCGAAUGGGGCAAACUAAUUUAAUUCAGUUGUACUUGAUAUUAUAGCUGCUCUUGUAGACAUAGUACAGUAGAUGAGCAGAAAUCAUCUGCUUUGCUGGCAGACACGCCCCUUUAUUGAACAUCACUCACUGAUUGGAUGCUGUAGCGGCUCAGACUUCUCUGAAACUUCACAUCACCUGCGUUUAAAAAACGGCAAAAAGAUGGACCUUAAAACAGUCCCUAAGAUAAUAAACACAAGUCAGUUUAUAAACAGGGGGUAUGUGAUGAGCUGAGAUGAAUAAGUGUUUGAUGUGAGAUUUAAGCACUAAAUACUAAACAUAAAAGCAUAAUCAUGAAAUCAACAUAACAGAGGAUUACUCCUGAGUUGUAUGGGCCAAACUGUUUAUUUCAGAUUCACCAUGAGGAAAUAGAGUCAUAUGCCUAAUAUCAUAGGUAGAAUAGACAUAUUUAAGCAAUUAAUUAACUUGUGCGCACAAGUUGUAAAAGAAAAAUUGUGGGGACUUCAGGGGCCCCGUAGAAAACAGUACAUUAAUAAAAGCAAUUUUUAUAGACUACUUACCCAUGGUAAAAGCACAAAAAUAUCGAAAAAAAUAGACCUCUCCAAGCAAUUCUAAACUUCUCCAACUCCUUCGGUGGAGGACGAUGACCAAAUCUGCGUUUAUUGGUGUUCUUAUACCAGGUACAUCGUUUUUCUCACGCGAUCGCGAGUUCUCGUAACUUCAUGGUCUCGCGACUACAGCCAUGACGUUUCUGCUGCGUGCUGCAGACUGUAGACGCAACCGGUGGGUGUUGACGGACGACAGAGCAUGGAGUCAAAAAGCAACGUAGCGGAGACGGACACGGAUCUGGUGGAAGUCCUGUGUUAGGCUGAGUUGAAGAAUCAGGGAGAGAGAGGGGAGGGGGUAGAGGGGAUAUUUUGCUAUGCUUGUUUUAUGUGGUAUUUCUUCAGUUUAUCAGGUAUUUUCUUUAAUCUGUAUUAGUAUUUCAGUCAUUUGUAUUGUGUUUGUUAAUUGUAAUUGUUUAAUUGUAAAUGUAUGUUUUAAAGUCAGGGGGAAGUGUCACUACGAUUACACUGGUGUGGGAGGAGACUGAGAUUCAGCAGUGAGUGUGUGUAUGAAGGUGGGGUCAGGUUGUGUCUCCUCUGCUUGGCUGCUGCGGUGAUUGCUGCAUCAGCUACAACCUGUGGAUCUCCUUUGUCUCCCAGGAAUCGGCUUCAUGCUGUGUGAGACUCUUUGUACAUGUGUGGACUUCAGUAAAAAGAAAAACUAGAGCUCUGGAA